AACCCAUGGUGAGGGCACCAUCUCAAUAUGUCCUUAUACCUCACCAAUGCAUCAUAUAAGGUCUCUAAGUCCAUCUGCACGAAGGAAGAUAUAUAAUUCCUCAACUU
rnacentral:snoRNA from 1 species